AGAAUAAAAAUCGAAGCGUCGCUCUUUUUUUAGGGUGAUCGCGUCGGAAUUGAGCCGUCUUUCAAAAUGUUAAUUCAUGUCAAAGUGGCUUAAAAUUCAUCCAUCCGGUACGGAUAAAGCGUAUUUAAGAUCAAUUUUGAUUAAGAACGCGCGAUGACGUACCAUCUCAUGUAGUACGUUGACCUGGGUCGUCAGGUUCACUCGUAUACUAAACUCGAAC
rnacentral:misc_RNA from 1 species